rnacentral:tRNA from 2 species
GGAGAGUUGCCAGAGUGGUUAAUGGAGUAGUUUGCUAAACUAUGAUCGGGAAACCGGUCCAUAGGUUCGAUCCCUAUACUCUCCG